rnacentral:snoRNA from 1 species
GACCUCCUGGGGCUUACCCCAGCUGUGUUCUUACACCGACUGGAUAGAAAGAAGAGGGAAAUAAACCCACCCCAUGUAAUGCUGGCCCAGGCCCUGUGCCUGGUCUGUAUUGUGACCAGAAAGAUAUGG